UCCAGUGACCUCUCUAUCUAAAGGGGAAGUUUCACAGUUAUGCAGUGCAUUAGUCUGACACUUUAUCAUAAUUUUGGACGAGUAUUUAUUAGUUAUUUCAGACAGAGAGAUAUUUAUCUACUAGUUUUAUUCCCAAAAAAAUAACAAUUAUGAUGUUUUUGUAUGCGUCGGUAUUUAUUUUCUAUAUCGUGGGAUUGCCUUGUACAUCCUCUGUCUUUUCAGAGAGGAAGUUAUUAUGCUCCUCAGAGCAAGUUAGCGUUUGGUACAGCUACGAAGGGCCAUUGUAUUACUUGUCUCUGACUGGUUCCCCCUGCUCUCAAGAAGUGGCCUUGCACGUUAACAUAUAGUAAUCCCAAUGCGCACAGUUGCUCGUGCCGGAUAUCAUGCUCGUAUUUACGUCAGAGGUCAGCUCUGGUUUGAGUACACACAGCCAUAUGUUCCUUGUGAGGAUGUCAAAAUCUGUUACAUCAUCAAAGGAGAAACACUGCAUGAAACCUGUCUAUUUUAUUUUAAAAGAAAAGGAUUUUUAGCUCCUCAGGGGAAAUAUGAGAUUUACUUGGAUGUGAACAUUGUUGAUGAUGCUGAAAGACUGCUGACAUUACGUGUUAACAUCACUUUGCAAGUAAAAAGUACUGGUAGCAAGAAUGCAAUUUUUCGACAGUUGGGAGGGCUGUAGGAAAAGAAAAUCCCAGCAAACAGAAGAAGGGUCAGAGUCAAAUUUUGUGUGUGUGAUGUGGUAGAGAUUAUAUUUUCUUGAUUGUCUCAGUCUGGACUGUUGUGGAGAGUCAUAUGGUUUUAAUUGUGAAAGUGUAAAUAAAUUACAUUUAAAUGCAAAUAUCCUCUGAAUUUACUGCAACAUUUUAUUUUGUGGCCAAACUUCUUUUUUUUUUUUCACUUCUUUGUUCACAUACUUACAGGUACUUAAAGGGAAAAAAACAUGGUUCAAUCCAAAAGAGAAGUUUUGCAAUAAUGUAAUGCAUUGUGUCCUAUUGUUAUUAGUUUGUGAUUUGUUCAUAUGCCAGCUUUCAGGAAGAAAAACCAAUAAAAGACGGAGAAAUUUUGCCACUGUUUCAUUAAACAAGAACAGCAAUGAUGCUUCUGUACCUUUCAGCUUUUCUUUGCUACAUUGUGGCAUUGUCUUCUGUGUCCUCGGCAGAGAAACAAUUGGUUUGUUCCUCAGAAAGUGUUAGCAUUUGGUACAGCUACAAUGGUAAGAUCAGUUUUUUCUGCACUUUACUUAUUCAGUUUAAUCGGUUACCUCAGAACCUCAGGUGCAAGCAAAAGAUAAGUGAUUGAAAACUCAAUGGAUGUAUAGAUUUUGCCCAGAACAAUUCUUUCUUCACCGAGACUCUUGCUAAUUCAAUUUAUGCACUAAUUACUGUUAAUUUUACAAAUGAUGCUCAUAAAUGGCCUCUUGUGGGCUUUGAAUCUCUUUUCAUGAUUCUGUUUGAUGUCUUUGUUAUGCAAUUUAAAAAAGCCAAUGCUCUCUUCAAUCAGGGCCGUUAUAUUACCUGUCAUUGUCUGCAUCCCCCUGCUCUCUAGGAAUGUCAGGGUACAAUAUAACGUGUACAGUAAUUCCAAUGUUCACAAUCAGACGUAUGGGAUUUCAUGCUCUUAUUUACUACAAAGAUCAGCUGUGGUUGGAUCACGUGCAGCCGGAUGUUCCUUGUGAAGAUCUGAAAAUAUGCGACAUCAUCAAAGGAGAAACACUUCGUGAUACAGUUCCAAUUUAUGUGAGAAAAUCUCAUGGACCGAAGGGAGAAUAUCAGCUUUUCAUAGAAGUGAACAUUGUCGAUGAUGCUGAAAGAAUGCUGACCUUACAUUUUAACAUCACUAUACAAAUUAAAAGUGCUAAUUACAAGAAUAAUUUUUUUCAGCAGUUGGGUGGGCUAUAGGACAAGAAAAUCCUGUUCUUAAUUAGUAAGACAGAAAAGGCAAGAUAAGUUUUUUCGAAAAACUUUUUUUCUUUUUGAUAGAAAUAAAUACAUUUAUUCCACAAGGAUGCAUUAAAGCAUUUAUAAUAUAACAAAGAUUUUUAUUUAAUAUAGCACAACUGUUUUCAAAAGUGAUAAUGAGACAUGUUAAAUCAGCAUAUUAGAGUAAUUACUGAAGGGUAAGUAAUGGGUGCUCAAAAUUCAGCUUUGCCAUCACAGGAACAAAUGACAUUUUAAAAUAUUUUUUUAAAUAUAAAGAAAAGAGUUCAUUUUAAAUUGUAAUAAUAUUUCACAAUAUUACAGUUUUUACUGUAUUUUUAAUCAAAGAACAGAUAAUGAUUUAUCAUUAGAAUAUUUCUUUAAUAAUAAUAAGCGAUUGUCUCAUUUUGGAGAGUCGUGAUAUGUUUUUAGUUUGUGAAAUGUUUGUGUAAAUAAAUUACAUUUAAAUGCGAAUCUCCUUUGAAUGUACUGUAAGAUUUUAUUUUGUGGCCAAACCUCCGUUUACUGGCACUUCUUUGUUCACAUAAUUACAGGUACUUAAAAGGAAAAAAACAUGAUUCACAGUUCAUAUCCCAGCUUUCAGGAAGAAAAACCAUAGACAAAAGACAAAGAGAUUUUGCCACUAGUUUGUUUCAUUAAACAAGAACAGCAAUGAUGCUUCUGUACCUUUCAGCUUUUCUGUACUACAUUGUGGCAUUGUCUUCUGUGUCCUUGGCAGAGAAACAAUUGGUUUGUUCCUCAGAAAGUGUUAGCAUUUGGUACAGCUACAAUGGUAAGAUCAGUUUUACACUAACACUUUACUUAAUCUAUUACCUCAGAACCUCAGGUGCCAGCAAAAGAUAAGUGAUACUUGUUAAAAACGCAAUGGAUGUUUUUUAGUAGGUAAAUAAACAAUUUUGCUCAGAGCAAUUCUUUCUUGACUGACUCUUUUGCUAUUUCCAUAUACAUACAAAUUGCAAUGUCAACCAGGGCCAUUAUAUUUCCUGUCAGUGUCUGCAUCCCCCUGUUCUUUAGAAAUGUCAGUGUACAGUAUAACGUAUACAGUGUUUCCAAGUAAGUUUAUGAAAUAUGAAUGCUCUAUAUUAAUUAUAUCGUAUACUUAAAGGACCUGCCAAAUUAUGCUGCACUCUUAACUAUUAAUAAUAUAAUAUAAUAUAAUUACAUCUAAUAAUAAAAAUAACAAUUAUAAUUAAUAUAACAUAAUAUAAUUAAUUAAUUAUUAUUAUUAUUAUUUUUAUUAUUAUAAUUUAUUUGCCUUGUUUAUUCAUUCAGUGUUCACAUUCAUGCUCUUAUUUACUGCAAAGAUCAGCUGUGUCUGUGGUUGGAUCACGUGCAGCCGGAUGUUCCUUGUGAAGAUCUGAAAAUAUGCAACAUCAUCAAAGGAGGUAGUACAUAUUAGACUUUACUACAUUAAAACAUAGUGGUUCUGCUGUGUAUUAAUGCGUCUCACUGAGACCACAUUCUUAUUUUAUAAACACUUCAUGAUACAGUUCUAAUUUAUGUGAGAAAAUAUUACGGCCUUGAGGUGAGCAAUCAACAGUAAUGCCAUAUAUUUUCCAAUAUAAAUGACUUCUAUGAUCAGAAAUCCGACAUAUAAAAACAUAUACAAUUUUAUAAUAAUAUACACUUUUUCACUAUAUGAGACUUUUUUUUACCCACUUCAAAAUAAAAAGAUAUAUAUUAAUGACAAGACACACACACACACACAAAAAAAACGAAUAAAUAAAUAAUGACUUUAUUUUGUUUUACCUUCUAGGGUGAAUAUCAGGUUUAUAUGAAUCUGACAUUUUUUGAUGACCUUGAAACACAGCAAAAAAAUAUGUUUUGAUAUCAAGUGAAAAAUCCCGAUGUUAUUAAUAAUAAAUUUUGACACAUGGGAGGUAUUUCUUUCUUUCUGAAAGUGUAUUCUUUUUUUUUUUAUCUAAAGUGGAUAAUUCAUAUUUAUAUUGAGUUUUGUAUGAGAUUUGGUCUCAUUAAAGCAAGCCAUAAAAAGUAUUGGUGCAUAGUGUUUUUAUGGCUAUUUAAUUGUAGAGAAAUUGAUCUGCCUGGGCACUGGCAGGUAUACAUACACUGCCAGAUUGUUCUGAUUGUUGAUAUCGUUGUAUUUGACCUGUAAAAUAACCUAAUGACAUAAAUAAACUCUUCAUUUGUUUAGGUGAGAAGUAUGUGUGAUCUGCCAUGCUUGCUUAUGAAAACAGGCAUUGGUGUAAAAAAACAACAAAAAAAGCAGCGAUACAAGAAAUUUCAUUUUCGUAAUUUCAGUGGACUCUCUUAAUGUAUAAGAUAUUUGCAGAACUGUUAUGUCAUUCAGUAUGUUUGAAACAUGUAUGAAACAGUAAAUUAAAUAAUUUACUGUAAACACUUCAUCCUGCUUGUUUUGUGAUUUCAUCUCAUGGCAACUUCCUUUUUUCAAAAGUUCCCUAAUCACAUAACCACUGGCACUUCCCCCCCAAAACAAACAUGCGGCGGGAUUCAAACCAAUAGUGUUUUACAAAAAUGCAGUGCAUUGUCAAAAGCAAGAACUGUUUUUUAGAGAAUGGUUAGUUUGUAAAUUUUGUUGUAGUUUGAAUUUUGUACAUAACUAUUCUGAGAGAGAGUUUGCCGCUGGAUAACAGAUAUGGUGCUUUUGUGCCCUUCAGCUUUUCUCUGUUUUAUUGCAUUAUUUUGUAUGCCAUCUGUGACUGCAGAGAAACGAUUAUUAUGCUCCUCGGAAAGCAUUGAUAUGUGGUACACCAUGGAUGGCCCGUUGUAUUACCUGUCAUUGACCUGUUCUCCCUGCAAACUAGGAGUGCUUUUGUACUCUGUAACUUAUAGAGUAAUCCCAAUGUUCACGAUCACUCGUAUUGGAUAUCAUAGUAUUAUUUACUACAAUGAUCAGCUGUGGUUGGAUCACGUUCAGCCAGAUAUUCCUUGUGAAGAUAUAAAAUUAUGUUACAUCAUCAAAGGAGAAACACUUCAUGAGACUUUUCCAUUUUACGUGAAAAAGUUUUUUGGCCCUGAGGGACAGUAUCAGAUUUACCUGACCCUAAACGUUGUUGAUGACCUUGGAAACAAACUGGCAAUACAAUUCAACGUCACUAUGGAUGUGAAAAAUGAUGGCAAUAAGAAAAACAAAUUCUUUCCACAUCUGGGAGGGCUAUAGGACAAGCUUUAUUUAUUUAUUUAUUCUGUAUUUUCGGUUCAGCUUUCUGACCAGAUCAAGUGAUCAUCAUUCUAGCAAAUCCAUCUCAAAUGACUGAUAUUCACACUGUUUGUUUGUAUAGUAUUUUUAAGAACAUUUCGGUUCCGCCACAUGGGAAAGGCCGCCCCUUUAGCCCACCCAGCAGCCUGGCAAUUAGGAACUUGAUUCUUCUUCCUGGAUGCAUAGCGCAUUAUCAGCUGCUGAGUAUUGUCAUUCAUUCAGAACUGCCUCCUGUUUGAAGUUUGGACAGACUGAAAUAGUUAAAGGAGGUUAAAAUAACAGCCUUAUCAACAAUGUCUGCCAUCAGCCGGGAGUAGCUCUCACUCAUUUCUUGUAAAUGUGUGUUUUGUGAGACAUGACCUGCCACUUGAUCACAGAAACAUGAGCAACCACAUAACGUACUAACUUAAUAUGAGUGUAUAUGCUUCGCAAGUAUAUAAAAACAAACAUGCCAAUACAGUUCUUCAAAAAAUGAUAUAUUCAUGCAUAGCAUUAUUUUAGCAAAAAUACAGUAAAACAGCAAUAUUGAGAAACUGUUACAAUUCAAAAACAGAUUAAAUAUAAUUGUUUUAUGUAAUAUAACUUAAAACUUGAUGGCAAAACUGAAUGCGGCAUUUUCUGAAUGCUGAUUUGGUGCCAAAUAAAAAUGUCAUUAUUAUCAAAUUAAAAUAAUAAUAUGUGCAAUAAUACAUUUUUUCAGGAUUCUUUAAGGCAUGGAAUGUUUUAAAAACAGCAUUUAUUUGAAAUGGAAAUUCUUUGUAAUGUUAUAAAAGUCUACUGUCACAUUUAUUUAAUUUCUUAAAAAAAGGUAUUUUUUUCAAAAUCGGGAUAUAUAGAUAGAUAGAUAGAUAGAUAGAUAGAUAGAUAGAUAGAUAGAUAGAUAGAUACAUGAACUAUAGCCCUCUGUGUAUUUCUCAUAUGGCAUAAAACAAGUGAAUCUGUCAAGUGAAUUCGUCGGAGUGAUACACACAGUAUGUGUGCUGGAAAGACUACAGCUCUUGUCAAGAGGGUUGGGUGUGAGGUGGCAUAUUCACAGUGGGAGUGUGGGUGUCGCAGGCCUGACAAGAGAGAGCAGGUGUCUCAGGACAGGCUGACCUCGCAGCUUUGACCCUGGGGGCCUAUCAAUCUAGAUCUAAUGGCAGGGAGGGGGCAAGGAGGGGUAAGAAUACAGGGUUAAUUAGGGAGCCUCCCUAUCAAAAAAAAAAAAAAGGAAAGUUGAGGUAAAAAUGUUUUAAUUUUGAAAACAUUAAUGGAAUACAUGACAUUUUGAAUUUAUAAAUGAUCAUCUCUGUGUCCUCGAGCAGCAAAACAAAGUACUUGAUUAGACUCUAAAUUAAUUACUUUACAUAUUAAUGACUUAAUAAUGUAACAUUUUUGCACAAAAAAAAAGGGUUGAGGCAUAUAUGAACAUAAAAGAAUUUGCUUCUGGUUAGAAGAGCACUGUACUUGAUUAAUUUCUUUAAAAAAAAAAAAAAAAUAUAUAUAUAUAUAUAUAUAUAUAUAUAUAUAAAAAAAAAAAAAAUUCAGAUCCACUCUGUUCACAAUGGCUCUUUACCACAAACCUUUUCUUUAGAAGAAGUGAUGACCAGUGAAAUAUGAGCCGGUGUAUGUAGUUUGAGAUAGUUGAGGUUUCUCACUGUCUCCUAUUCACAUGCCACAAAUUCUGUGUAACCGAUACUGUUUGACCUUGGCAAUUCCCAUGAAAAUAUUUCUCAAACUAUACAGGAUCUAAGUUGGUCUCAACCAAUCGGGGCGAAAGACAUUUUUCAGAAAUGAUGCAAACAAUGACGCAACGCGCCGAAGAUGGAGGAAAGUCCAUCAGUGCUGACUGAGCGAUGUCAUGUAACUACGUGACAUACAGUACCUCGGAGUGAUCUUCUUCCUGUUUGUGCAUCAACAGAGGGUUACUGAGGUAAAAUGUCACGUGAGAUUAGAUGCUUAAUGGUUGCGGCUGUUGAGAAACAGAACUUUGUGUGUUAUGUCUGUUGGUUGAGCCUCUAUUUCAGGCUCUUUCUAUAUUAACUGUAGUCCACCAUAGGAUCCAUGUUCACAUACUAAAAGAGAACAACAAAGCAGCUGGUGGGUGACCUUCCACUCUCUCCAGUGAGCUCAGAGGAGGAGAAAGACGACAUAGGCUGGCGCAACUCUCAUGGUGCUCAAAUACAACCCUCUCCCAGCCAACAGCAGCUGCUUCGCACUAUUUUGGUCUUAGGAUCACCGCAGCAAUCCUCCAGACAAGAAACAAUUUUCACACUCAAGGGGGAAGGACUGCUCUAAAAUAAAACAUACCUGUAAGCCUAGAGAGACAGCAUGGAAGUAAUGGAAGCCCCCUGUCUGUUCUCUUCUCUGUCUAACAAUUUUCUGCAUUAAUGUGUGUAAUCAUUUCAAAACUCUUCUUUGUCUAAUAAUAGGUUAUUAGACAUGAUUUGGGCUGGGUGUUGGUCAAUGAAAUGGGAAAAAACAAUGUCAGGACAUGCUUCAAGACUUUGAAAAGUCACCUUUUUAAUUAUAAUUUAUAUCAAUAAUUUCCAAAAAAUAAUAUAUAUCUAUAUAUACGUUUCAGUAUCAUUAAGGUGUGUGGGACAGUUCAUAUCAAAACUUUCAGCAACAUUUUUCCAUGUGUUCAACCUUUAAAAUGAAAACAAUACAUUCAAACCAAUUUAAAAAUGUUAAGAUAUUACAAUGACAGAGUCAAGCCAUUUUAAAUACCGUAUUUAACCCUUUCGUGCUGUUGCAUGUCUUUAUUACCCAUUUUUUUUUUGCUUUAACAUAGAUUUAAUGCAAUGUUUUAUCUUGAAUUUGCAAUUUAUGAUUCUUCAGUUGUGAAUUUUUGUAUGGUCAAUUUGAAGAGCUACGCUAGAUCUGAAAUCAUAACAGCACAAAAGAGUUAAAUUGAAUGCUGUUUUACAAUAAAACAUCUUUAAUACUAGCUGUUUUGUUUUGUUUUUUAGAAAAAUACAGAAAUUGUAACUUUUCUUGGUAUAGAGAUGAACUUUUUUUGGUAGUGGAAACAAAAUGACAAAAAAAUCUUUACUGGGUAAACAAAUGCCAAAUUUUAAGGGGAAAUUGUAAUUACAUCUAAUAUGUAUCAUGUCGGGAUGGAAUAUAAACAGAAAUAGAAAACAAAUCAGAAAAAAAAAAAAAACAGCCAU